UCCCAUUUUUGGCUACAAGAGCUCUGAGGUUUCAAGCUGAAGAUGAGAAACUUGCACUUUUGUGGUUUGGGGUGUAAGAAUAUGAAAACCAGGGGAUUUUCACCCUGACCCCAUAUCCCGCAGCGUUCCAGCACGUCUGCUUAUCCCGGCAGUGUUUAUGUCGGAUCUGAGCCACCAAAUACCAGGCCACCUCCUUUUUCUAGCUUUUAUUUUUAUUUUUCUGGUUGGUUCUGCUGCCCGCUGGAUCUUGCAGAGUAACAGUUGAAGACAGAAAUGCCCGAGAGCGAAAAAAGAGCUUUGCUGGGUGCACAUGGUGUUGAUUCAGCCUUGAGAUGAUGUGUAGAUGACACCCAAAGCCUCAGUGGGAUAAUCUGCCAUCUUUGAACAUCCAACUCUUCACUUGGAAAGACCAACAUUUAAUAAUUGUUCCACAUCUCCCCAAAUUGUUUUUCUUCUCCUAUUGUCUGCAUUGCCACAUCUUUUGGGAGAAGGAAUUUUUCUUGUUCUCCCCAAGCUGGACUCACAGAGACAUCAUGAAUUACAGUGCUCCAUCACUUUGAUGUCUCUGGUGCUUUGGGCUAAGUUUCUGGGAAACGGUGCUUAAGGCACGGGGAAGUGGAGAGCUGGGAAAAGGACACAGCAGUCCUUGAAGACAAACACAAUUAUGGGUGAGAAGCCUCUCCUUAGAAUGACUCAGAGCACUUUGAUGCUCUCUGCUGGCUCCGGAUGCUGAGCUGCCCACAUCCUACCAGGACAGGCCUAGGACAUGUCCUGCACACUGCACCUCAUGCCAGCAAAAGAAUGGUCUGGUAGCAGGAGAUGCUCCAGCUCUCAUCAGGAAACAGGCUUAUGGCCACAGCUUGGAGGAGGACUCAUAGCCCUGGGGCCAAGGUAGGCAGACAGAAGCCUAGCAGAAGUUCAGCAUUGCACAGCAAGCAACUGCCCAAAGCAGGGAAGGCUGAGGACAUACAGGUCACCCUGCUGGGAAGGCUGAUGGGCUUGAACCUUGGUUCAAAUGAGACAAGUGCAUGGUGCAAGGCUGAUGGUGCACCAGCUGCUGGAAUCCUCUUGCUUUCGGAGCUUGUUGCUCAAAGCUCAUUGCUCAAAGCCCUGCUGCUCCCUUCCAGACUUGCUUUCAAAGCGCUUUCCUCUCUUAUACAUAUUUCUCAAUAAGGAUAUAGAAAUAAAUUACGUGCAGAAAAAAAAAAAAAAACCAGCUUGCCUUGUUCAGGCCUAUUCGUUCCCAAUGGUUUUGUCCCAGAAUAAACACAGACAUGUUUUGAAGCUUGUUGUGAAAGGAGAUUGACUCUAAAAUCUACUUCCUGGCUUUGAAAACUGCAGACCAGCAUGGCUUUUAUUAUUAACCGGUCAUUAGAGUGAGUGACAUAUAGAAGGAAUAAUUGCU